rnacentral:rRNA from 1 species
UGAAACCGUGUACGUACAAGCAGUGGGAGCACCCUUUGGGGUGUGACUGCGUACCUUUUGUAUAAUGGGUCAGCGACUUAUAUUCUGUAGCAAGGUUAACCGAAUAGGGGAGCCGGAGGGAAACCGAGUCUUAAUUGGGCGUUAAGUUGCAGGGUAUAGACCCGAAACCCGGUGAUCUAGCCAUGGGCAGGUUGAAGGUUGGGUAACACUAACUGGAGGACCGAACCGACUAAUGUUGAAAAAUUAGCGGAUGACCUGUGGCUGGGGGUGAAAGGCCAAUCAAACCGGGAGAUAGCUGGUUCUCCCCGAAAGCUAUUUAGGUAGCGCCUCGUGAAUUCAUCUCCGGGGGUAGAGCACUGUUUCGGCUAGGGGGCCAUCCCGGCUUACCAACCCGAUGCAAACUGCGAAUACCGGAGAAUGUUAUCACGGGAGACACACGGCGGGUGCUAACGUCCGUCGUGAAGAGGGAAACAACCCAGACCGCCAGCUAAGGUCCCAAAGUCAUGGUUAAGUGGGAAACGAUGUGGGAAGGCCCAGACAGCCAGGAUGUUGGCUUAGAAGCAGCCAUCAUUUAAAGAAAGCGUAAUAGCUCACUGGUCGAGUCGGCCUGCGCGGAAGAUGUAACGGGGCUAAACUAUGCACCGAAGCUGCGGCAGCGACACUAUGUGUUGUUGGGUAGGGGAGCGUUCUGUAAGCCUGUGAAGGUGUGUCGUGAGGCAUGCUGGAGGUAUCAGAAGUGCGAAUGCUGACAUAAGUAACGAUAAAGCGGGUGAAAAGCCCGCUCGCCGGAAGACCAAGGGUUCCUGUCCAACGUUAAUCGGGGCAGGGUGAGUCGACCCCUAAGGCGAGGCCGAAAGGCGUAGUCGAUGGGAAACGGGUUAAUAUUCCCGUACUUGGUGUUACUGCGAAGGGGGGACGGAGAAGGCUAUGUUGGCCGGGCGACGGUUGUCCCGGUUUAAGCGUGUAGGUGUGUGUUCCAGGUAAAUCCGGUUCACUUUAACACUGAGGCGUGACGACGAGGCACUACGGUGCUGAAGCAACAAAUGCCCUGCUUCCAGGAAAAGCCUCUAAGCAUCAGGUAACAUCAAAUCGUACCCCAAACCGACACAGGUGGUCAGGUAGAGAAUACCAAGGCGCUUGAGAGAACUCGGGUGAAGGAACUAGGCAAAAUGGUGCCGUAACUUCGGGAGAAGGCACGCUGACACGUAGGUGAAGUGAUUUACUCAUGGAGCUGAAGUCAGUCGAAGAUACCAGCUGGCUGCAACUGUUUAUUAAAAACACAGCACUGUGCAAACACGAAAGUGGACGUAUACGGUGUGACGCCUGCCCGGUGCCGGAAGGUUAAUUGAUGGGGUCAGCGCAAGCGAAGCUCCUGAUCGAAGCCCCGGUAAACGGCGGCCGUAACUAUAACGGUCCUAAGGUAGCGAAAUUCCUUGUCGGGUAAGUUCCGACCUGCACGAAUGGCGUAAUGAUGGCCAGGCUGUCUCCACCCGAGACUCAGUGAAAUUGAACUCGCUGUGAAGAUGCAGUGUACCCGCGGCAAGACGGAAAGACCCCGUGAACCUUUACUAUAGCUUGACACUGAACAUUGAGCCUUGAUGUGUAG